CAAGAUCAUACAUAGCUCAGUUCACUUUUUUUAGCAUCAAAGAAUAAAUAUUAGGUUCUUAUCCAUGAAGAGCAGGGUAGACUCUGACCUCUAGAAAUCAGGGCACUAUUCUAGUAUAAUUCUCUAGUCUUCACUAAAAUGAAAACUUUGAUUGCUGCAUUCUCUUUCUUUCUCUCUUUGUACACACGCAUAUUUUACUUGAACAAUUCUUAAAUUUAUUCUUAAGAAUUUAUGUAUCUCGAAUAGGAUGCCACUAUUCGAUUUUUUUCCUUAAAACUUUUCUAUUUGUGAGUAUGAAAUAUUUCCUGGUCUUCUUCCAAAUGUUUAUUCAAUAUUCAAUAAAAUUGUCAUUACUAGCAAAAAUUUUGGAAAGGUGGUCCUUCUCUGAUAAUGAUUAGAUUGACAGUUGGUGUUCUUCGGUUUCACAUUGUAAAAAACAAUUCUAGUUAGUUUAGGCAAAAUAGGAAGUUUAUAGCAUACAGCGUGGCUCCCAAAAGUGAAAGAAAAGUUGAAGGAUUGAUCUAGGCAAGAGCAAGAACCAGGGCAGCUGAAGGAGAUGAGGGUCACUGUUGCAGGGAGCAACCUCCUGAAUAAAUCAGCAUCAUUAGGGACUGCUCUUUGGUCAUUCAGCUCAAGAUGCCUGUUCCAGCAAAGGCCUAAUGGCCUCCUUUGGGGCACAGGUCUACUUGCUGCCAGAAAAAGACAUGGCACCUUGAUUUCCCCUCUUACCAGACUGUGCACAGUGAGGAUUACGUAAUUUCCUCAGGACAAAAUAGGGGCACCUUACUCAAAGAAGGGGGAAAUGAAUACUGAGAGGCAAAAAUAAAUAAAUAGAAUUAGCCCAAUACAGUAAGUAUGGUAUAUAAUUCUUUUCAUAUUUUCUAAUAAAGGAGUCGACAUUUGUUAUUCUUAACAUUCAAUUUCAAUUUUGACAGCCAUUGUUUUCACCAAAAAUAAAAACAGUGAUCUUUUAGAUGUACUUAAUUUUUUUUGUUGUUAAACUGGAUUUUUAUUUUAUUUUUUUAAUUUAUUAUUAUUUUUUUAAAAUUUUCCCACUAUACAGCAAGGGGAUCAAGUUAUCCUUAUAUGUAUACAUUACAUUUUUUCUUUCCCCACCCUUUGUUGUGUUGCAACAUGAGUAUCUAGACAUAGUUCUCAAUGCUACUCAGCAGGAUCUCCUUGUAAAUCUAUUCUAAGUUGUGUCUGAUAAGCCCAAGCUCCCGAUCCCUCCCACUCCCUCCCUUUCCCAUCAGGCAGCCACAAGUCUGUUUUCCAAGUCCAUGAUUUUCUUUUCUGUGGAGAUACUAUCAAAAUAAUGAUGCAAUGAAUUUUUUAGAAUCAUUUUGAAUUUUCAGCUUCUAUAGGAAGAGAUGUCUUUACUUUCAAAAUGUAAGCUUUUUAUUUCCAAAGUUUGUGAGGGGUUUUGUGGGAGGGGGCCUCAAAUAAUCAUCCAGAAGCUUAAUUUCAUAUCUUAUUUCUCCUUGCGUUUCCAUCCCCAAUCCCUCACACCUAUUUUGGCUCAUAUUUUUUAUAUAUAACUUCUGAGAAAAACUUUAAUUAUAGUUUCUAUUCCAAAGCCAGUUUUCAGUUUCAGCUUCUAAGUCUUAUUUUGAUGCUCACCUUUACCAGGCUUGCUACAUAAUAAAAAUUUUACAUUAAAAGUACAGGUCUGGAGUUCCCAUUGUGGCUUAGUGGAAACAAAACUGACUAGCAUCCAUGAGGAUGCAGGUUCAAUCCCUGGCCGUGCUCAGUGGGUAAAGGAUCCGGCAUUGUCUUGAAAUGCAGUGUGGGUCUGAUCUCACUUGUUGUGGCUGUGGUGUAGGCCAGCGGCUACAGCGCCAAUUCAACCCUUAACCUGGGAUCUACCGCAUUCCAUGGGGGCAUACCUAAAAACUAACUAAAUAAAUAAAUACAUAAAAGUAUAGGUCAACAAGCACUAAAUACUUUAAAAGUACUUUAAAACAGAUGACUAAUUCCUGUCACAUAGUUGCAGGCAAGUUUCUUAACUCGUCCUCUCCUGCUUUCUAAAGAUAUCCCCCACUCUGUGGCCCACUGCUCUAUAUCCACAUCAUUUGCUAUGCUGAAAAGGUUUAACAUAAACACAGAGUUAAAUUUAAAAUAAUUACUUUAGGGAGUGGAUGCUUCUUGAGUACAGGUAAUGUUCUAUUUCUUAAUCUAGGUUCCAGUUACUUGAGUGUGUUUUGUAGACUUUGUAAAAAUUCAUCCAGCUGUAUGCUUAUGAUUUAUCUACUUUUCUUGGAUACAAGAUUUACUUAAAAAAUAAUGAUUUAAAAAAAGUCACUUUUUAUAUUCAAUGACAUCAUGACCCAUUUUUCCAUUGAGGUGUUCAUCAUUUUCAAACUGAUCUACAAGAGCUCUUCAGUAACUCAGGCCAAAAUCCUCAGCUGCUCUUUUUCUCAUACCUCUGUCCAAUCUGUAAGAAAAUACUACAAGCUGAACUUUCAAAAUAGAUCCUUAGUCCUUCCACUUCUCCCCACUCCACCGCUAAAACCAUCUUUCAUGUAGAUUAUUACAAUGGUCAUUGUAAAUGGUCUUCCUGGUCCCACACUAUCCCCCACCACAUUCCGUCUAUAUAACACACAGCAGCUAGACAAAUCCCGCCAAACCAAAGAUGAAUUUUAUCACACUCCUGCUCCCAACCCUCCAGUAGCUU
rnacentral:lncRNA from 1 species